CCUACGGGGAGCAGCAGUGAGGAAUAUUGGUCAAUGGGCGGGAGCCUGAACCAGCCAAGUCGCGUGAAGGAAGAAGGUACGUAGUAUUGUAAACUUCUUUUGUCGGGGAACAAAGGCGGAGACGCGUCUCCGGAUGAGUGUACACGCAGAAAAAGCAUAGGCGAACUCGGUGCCAGCAGCAGCGGGAAAACGUCGGUGGCAAGAGUUAACCGGAUUUAUGGGGUGUAAAGGGCGUGUCGGCGGGAGCGAAAGUCAGAUGUGAAAACUCAGGGCUCAACCCUGAGCCUGCAUUUGAAACUGUGUUUCUUGAGUGCUGGAGAGGCAAUCGGAAUUCCGUGUGUAGCGGUGAAAUGCGUAGAUAUACGGAGGAACACCAGUGGCGAAGGCGGAUUGCUGGACAGUAACUGACGCUGAGGCGCGAAAGCGUGGGGAGCAAACAGGAUUAGAUACCCCGGUAGUC
rnacentral:rRNA from 1 species